rnacentral:snRNA from 1 species
GAAGCAACGGCCUUUUGGCUAAGAUCAAGUGUAGUAUCUGUUNUUAUCAGUUUAAUAUCUGAUAUGUCCUAGAGCAGAGGACUUUAUAUUAAACGGAUGUUUGGUCGUGGGAGUCAGCCCCGGAGCUUGCUCCAACUGUUCUGUGCAUCUUCCCACUAUUGCAGCACCUUUGGGCUCCGUGCACCCCUG